CCAAAAAACCACGAGUUUUCUCUUCCGAAAUCCCACAUUUAACCAGAAAUCACACGUUUUCCCUUCGCAAAACCCCCAUUUAAGCGAAAAUCUCGCGUUUUCUCUUUGAGAAUCGUCAAUUUAAGUGAAAAUCAAGCGUUUUCUCUUUGAGAAUCCCCCAUUUAAGUGAAGAUCAUGAAUUUUCGCUUCUCAAAUACCCCAUUUAAGCGAAAAUCACGCGUUUUCUCUUCGGAAAUCCCCCAUUUAACUUGAAAAUCACGUUUUCUCUUCGAGAAUCCAACAUUUAAGCGAAAAUCACGUGUUUUCUCUUCGAGAAUCCAACAUUUAAGCGAAAAUCACACGUUUUCUCUUCGCAAAUCCCCCAUUUAACUUGAAAAUCACGCGUUUUCUCUUCGGAAAUCCCCCAUUUAAGCGAAAAUCACGCGUUUUCUCUUCGAGAAUCCAACAUUUAACUAGAAAAUCAAGCGUUUUCUCAAAUCCCCCAUUUAAGCGAAAAUCACGCGUUUUCUCUUCGCAAAUCCCCCAUUUAACCAGAAAACCAAGCAUUUUCUCUUCGAGAAUCCCCCAUUUAACCCGAAAAUCAUGUGUUUUCUCAAAUCCCACAUUUAAGCGAAAAUCACGCAUUUUCUCUUCGCAAAUCCCCCAAUUAACCCAAAAAACCACGAGUUUUCUCUUCCGAAAUCCCCCAUUUAACCAGAAAUCACACGUUUUCCCUUCGCAAAACCCCCAUUUAAGCGAAAAUCUCACGUUUUCUCUUUGAGAAUCGUCAAUUUAAGUGAAAAUCAAGCGUUUUCUCUUUGAGAAUCCCCCAUUUAAGUGAAGAUCAUGAAUUUUCUCUUCUCAAAUACCCCAUUUAAGCGAAAAUCACGCGUUUUCUCUUCGGAAAUCCCCCAUUUAAGCGAAAAUCACGCGUUUUCUCUUCGAGAAUCCCCCAUUUAAGCGAAAAUCACGCGUUUUCUCUUCGAAAAUCCCCCAUUUAAGCAAAAAUUACGCGUUUUCUCUUCAAGAAUCCCCCAUUUAAGUGAAAAUCAUGCAUUUUAUCUUCAGAAAUCCCCCAUUUAAGCGAUAAUCCUGUGUUUUCUCUUUGGAAAUCCCCCAUUUAAGUGAAAAUCAUGCGUUUUCUCUUCAGAAAUCUGCCAUUUAAGCGAAAAUCUCGUGUUUUCUUCUCGGAAAUCCCCCAUUUUAGCGAAAAUCACGCGUUUUCUUUUCAAAAAUCCCACAUUUAAGCGGAAAUCACGCGUUUUCUCUUUGGAAAACCCCCAUUUCAUCGAAUAUCAACUGUUUUAUCUCUGAGAAUCCCACAUUUAAGCAAAUAUCACGCGUUUUCUCUUCGGAAAUCCCCCAUUUUAGCGAAAAUGUCGUGUUUCCUCUUCCGAAACCCCCCAUUUAAGCAAAUAUCACGCUUUUUCUCAUCAGAAAUCCCCCAUUUAAGCAAAAAUCACGCGUUUUCUCUUCGGAAAUCCCCCAUUUAAGUGAAAAUCAUGCGUUUUCUUUUCACAAAUCCCCCGUUUAAUUGGAUAUCACGCUCUUUAUCUCCGAGAAUCCCACAUUUAUGCAAAUAUCAUGCGUUUUCUCUUUGGAAAACUUCGAUUUAAUCGAAUAUCAACAGUUUCAUCUCCGAGAAUCCCACAUUUAAGCAAAUAUCACGCGUUUUCUCUUCAGAAAAAUUCAAGUAAGCGAAAAUCAUGAAUUUUCUCCUCGGAAAUCACCCAUUUAAGCGAAUAUCAUGCAGUUUUCUAUUCGGAAAUUCCCCAUUUAAGCAAAAAUCACGGGUUUUCUUUUCGGAAAUCCCCCUUUUAAUCGGAUAUCACGCUCUUUAUCUCCGAGAAUCCCACAUUUAAGCAAAUAUGACGCGUUUUCUCUUUGGAAAUCCCCCAUUUAAGCAAAAAUCACAUGGUUUCUCAUCAGAAAUCCCCCAUUUAAGCAAAAAUUAAGCGUUUUCUCAUCGCAAAUCCCGCAUUUAAGCGAAAAUCAUGCAUUUUAUCUUUGAAAAUCCCCCAUUUAAGCGAUAAUCCUGUGUUUUCUCUUCGGAAAUCCCCCAUUUAACAGAAUAUCAUGCGUUUUCUCUUUGGAAAUCCCCCAUUUAAGCGAAAAUCAUGAAUUUUCUCCUCGGAAAUCCCCCAUUUAAGCAAAUAUCACGCGUUUUCUCUUCGGAAAUCCCCCACUUAGGUGAAAAUGAUAAAUUUUCUCUUUGGAAGUCCACCAUUUAAGCGAAAAUCAUGAAUUUUCCCUUCGGAAAUCCCCCAUUAAGCAAAUAUCACGCGUUUUCUUUUCGGAAAACCCCCUUUUAAUCGAAUAUCAACCGUUUUAUCUUCGGAAAUCCCACUUUAAGCAAAUAUCAUGCGUUUUCUCUUCAGAAAUACCCCAUUUAAGCGAAAAUCAUGAAUUUUCUCCUAAGAAAUGCCCCUUUUAAGCGAAUAUCACGCGUUUUCUCUUCGGAAAUCCCCAUUUAGGCGAAAAUCAUGAAUUUUCACUUCGGAAAUCCCCCAUUUAAGCAAAUAUCAUGCGUUUUCUCUUCGGAAAUCCCCCAUUUAAGCGAAAAUCAUGAAUUUUCUCCUUGGAAAUCCACCAUUUAAGCAAAUAUCACGCGUUUUUUCUUAGAGAAUACCCCGUUUAUACGAAAAUCACGCGUUUUCUCUUCAGAAAUCUGCCAUUUAAGCUAAAAUCACGUGUUUUUUUU
rnacentral:lncRNA from 1 species